rnacentral:rRNA from 2 species
UAUACAUGCAGUCGAGCGAACUGAUUAGAAGCUUGCUUCUAUGACGUUAGCGGCGGACGGGUGAGUAACACGUGGGCAACCUGCCUGUAAGACUGGGAUAACUUCGGGAAACCGAAGCUAAUACCGGAUAGGAUCUUCUCCUUCAUGGGAGAUGAUUGAAAGAUGGUUUCGGCUAUCACUUACAGAUGGGCCCGCGGUGCAUUAGCUAGUUGGUGAGGUAACGGCUCACCAAGGCAACGAUGCAUAGCCGACCUGAGAGGGUGAUCGGCCACACUGGGACUGAGACACGGCCCAGACUCCUACGGGAGGCAGCAGUAGGGAAUCUUCCGCAAUGGACGAAAGUCUGACGGAGCAACGCCGCGUGAGUGAUGAAGGCUUUCGGGUCGUAAAACUCUGUUGUUAGGGAAGAACAAGUACAAGAGUAACUGCUUGUACCUUGACGGUACCUAACCAGAAAGCCACGGCUAACUACGUGCCAGCAGCCGCGGUAAUACGUAGGUGGCAAGCGUUAUCCGGAAUUAUUGGGCGUAAAGCGCGCGCAGGCGGUUUCUUAAGUCUGAUGUGAAAGCCCACGGCUCAACCGUGGAGGGUCAUUGGAAACUGGGGAACUUGAGUGCAGAAGAGAAAAGCGGAAUUCCACGUGUAGCGGUGAAAUGCGUAGAGAUGUGGAGGAACACCAGUGGCGAAGGCGGCUUUUUGGUCUGUAACU